AUGUUUACAUUCAACUUCGCUUGUUAAUAUUUCUGACAUAUACUUGAUGGAAUAUACAUAAAUAUGUGUUCUUUCUUAUAGGUAUGCACCAGAUUCAAGGAUCAGCUACUUGAUGAAAUAUACAGGAGACUCUCCUACUCAACAUUACCUUAAAAAAAGAAUCAAGGAUCAGUUCAAUGGGAAUUGGAAUGAUGAAAACACUUGUUUGAGCACAUCUGAUCCUCAUAAUAGCAUAUUUUUAAUAAAUCACUGUAGUCAAAUCACUUUUUUAUAAUUUCUAUAGUAAAAUCACUUACUAUUGCGUAUAAGUGCCAUUAAGGAUCAACCUAGAUCUGCGGGAUAGUUUGGAAUAUAUACCCAGGGCAUUAUAAUUGCUCUAUAUUAUUAUUAAUUUCGUAUAUCAUCACCUUAGACUACUCGAACUGUCGGCCAUGCUUUGUGAUUAAACAAUUCUUGACUGAUUAAAUCCAUUUCAAGUGUAAUGCAAGUGUUGAAUUGUGAUCCAUGAAUAGCAAGCCCAUUUGGGGAAUGUAUUUGAACAAUGACCCAAGCAGUCGCACAAGUGGAUCUGCACAUAUUAUUAUCAAGGAAAACAGAGUAGGUCAUGGUGGAUGAAGAGAACAUUAACCGACAGACUUUUCGGUUGCUGAUCAAAUAUAAAAUAUGUAAUUUUCUGGUUCAGUAAUAAACGGGCAAUUCAACUUAUAGCUGGGGCAGCCUGAUUUCCUCCUACACACGCCCGCUAGCUGCAACAGUUACGGCCAGGCGGUUGCGGAAGGUGAUAGGUGUGGUGGU